rnacentral:rRNA from 1 species
GGUCCCAUCCCGAACCCGGUCGUUAAGCCCGCCAGCGCCGAUGGUACUGCCCUGGACACGGGGUGGGAGAGUAGGCCAUCGCCAGGA